rnacentral:rRNA from 1 species
UGGAGCAUGUGGUUAAUUCGAAGCAACGCGAAGAACCUUACCAGGCCUUGACAUGCAGAGAACUUUCCAGAGAUGGAUUGGUGCCUUCGGGAACUCUGACACAGGUGCUGCAUGGCUGUCGUCAGCUCGCGUCGUGAGAUGUUGGGUUAAGUCCCGUAACGAGCGCAACCCUUGUCCUUAGUUACCAGCACGUUAUGGUGGGCACUCUAAGGAGACUGCCGGUGACAAACCGGAGGAAGGUGGGGAUGACGUCAAGUCAUCAUGGCCCUUACGGCCUGGGCUACACACGUGCUACAAUGGUCGGUACAAAGGGUUGCCAAGCCGCGAGGUGGAGCUAAUCCCAUAAAACCGAUCGUAGUCCGGAUCGCAGUCUGCAACUCGACUGCGUGAAGUCGGAAUCGCUAGUAAUCGUGAAUCAGAAUGUCACGGUGAAUACGUUCCCGGGCCUU